rnacentral:rRNA from 1 species
UGGGGAAUAUUGGACAAUGGGCGAAAGCCUGAUCCAGCCAUGCCGCGUGUGUGAAGAAGGUCUUCGGAUUGUAAAGCACUUUAAGUUGGGAGGAAGGGCAGUAAGCGAAUAUCUUGCUGUUUUGACGUUACCGACAGCAUAAGUACCGGCUAACUCUGUGCCAGCAGCCGCGGUAAUACAGAGGGUGCAAGCGUUAAUCGGAAUUACUGGGCGUAAAGCGCGCGUAGGUGGUUCGUUAAGUUGAAUGUGAAAGCCCCGGGCUCAACCUGAGAACUGCAUCUAAAGCUAGCGAGCGGGAGUAGUACAGGGGUUGGUGGAAUUUCCUAUGUAGCGGUGAAAUGCGUAGAUAUAGGAAGGAACACCAGUGGCUAAGGCGACCACCUGGGCUCAUACUGACACUGAGGUGCGAAAGCGUGGGGAGCAAACAGG